rnacentral:rRNA from 1 species
UACAGAGGUCUCAAGCGUUUGUUCGGAUUCAUUGGGCGUAAAGGGUGCGUAGGCGGCGUGGUAAGUCGGAUGUGAAAUCUCGGAGCUUAACUCCGAAACUGCAUUCGAUACUGCCGUGCUUGAGGACUGGAGAGGAGACUGGAAUUUACGGUGUAGCGGUGAAAUGCGUAGAUAUCUGGAGGAACACCGGUGGCGAAGGCGGCAUCCUGGACCAACACUGACGCUGAGGAGCGAAGCCAGGGGAGCAAACGGGG